rnacentral:rRNA from 1 species
AAGGCUUGACAUACACCGGAAACGGCCAGAGAUGGUCGCCCCCUUGUGGUCGGUGUACAGGUGGUGCAUGGUUGUCGUCAGCUCGUGUCGUGAGAUGUUGGGUUAAGUCCCGCAACGAGCGCAACCCUCGUUCUAUGUUGCCAGCGGGUUAUGCCGGGGACUCAUAGGAGACUGCCGGGGUCAACUCGGAGGAAGGUGGGGAUGACGUCAAAUCAUCAUGCCCCUUAUGUCUUGGGCUUCACGCAUGCUACAAUGGCCGGUACAAAGGGCUGCGAUACCGUAAGGUGGAGCGAAUCCCAAAAAGCCGGUCUCAGUUCGGAUUGAGGUCUGCAACUCGACCUCAUGAAGUCGGAGUCGCUAGUAAUCGCAGAUCAGCAACGCUGCGGUGAAUACGUUCCCGGGCC